rnacentral:rRNA from 1 species
GAUCAUGGCUCAGGAUGAACGCUAGCUACAGGCUUAACACAUGCAAGUCGAGGGGCAGCGGGGAUCUAGCUUGCUAGAUUUGCCGGCGACCGGCGCACGGGUGAGUAACACGUAUCCAACCUGGCCCAUACUCGGGUAUAGCCUCUCGAAAGGGAGAUUAAUCCCCGAUGUUGUUGUUUCACCGCAUGGUGUUGCAACCAAAGAAUUUCGGUAUGGGAUGGGGAUGCGUUCCAUUAGCUUGUUGGCGGGGUAACGGCCCACCAAGGCGACGAUGGAUAGGGGUUCUGAGAGGAAGGUCCCCCACACUGGAACUGAGACACGGUCCAGACUCCUACGGGAGGCAGCAGUGAGGAAUAUUGGUCAAUGGGCGCAAGCCUGAACCAGCCAAGUAGCGUGAAGGAUGACUGCCCUAUGGGUUGUAAACUUCUUUUAUACGGGAACAAAUGUAGGUACGUGUACCUAUUUGCGUGUACCGUAUGAAUAAGCAUCGGCUAACUCCGUG